GACAGAGGUGGCAAGCGUUGUUCGGAUUUAUUGGGUGUAAAGGGCAGGUAGGUGGCUAUACAAGUCUGGUGUGAAAUCCCACGGCUCAACCGUGGAACUGCAUUGGAAACUGUAUGGCUUGAGUACUGGAGAGGUGAGGGGAAUUCUCGGUGUAAGGGUGAAAUCUGUAGAUAUCGAGAGGAACACCAGUGGCGAAGGCGCCUCACUGGCCGGUUACUGACACUGAGCUGCGAAAGCAAGGGGAGCAAACAGG
rnacentral:rRNA from 1 species